ensembl:snRNA U5 U5 spliceosomal RNA
AUACUCUGAUUCCUCAUCAUAUGGUGUAGAUCUUUCAUCUUUUACUGAAGAUUUCCAUGGGAAGGAAUAAUUUUGAGUCUUAUGACUUAGUUACCUAGUGCUGCCAUAACAGAAAU